rnacentral:tRNA from 1 species
GCCCCGUGGUAUUUACGCCGGAAUGCAAGUUCGGAGAAGCACCCCCAAAAGGUGCCGGGGCUU